rnacentral:rRNA from 1 species
AGUUGGUAAGGUAACGGCUUACCAAGGCGACGAUACAUAGGGGGACUGAGAGGUUAACCCCCCACAUUGGUACUGAGACACGGACCAAACUCCUGCGGGAGGCAGCAGUGAGGAAUAUUGGUCAAUGGACGGAAGUCUGAACCAGCCAUGCCGCGUGCAGGAAGACGGCUCUAUGAGUUGUAAACUGCUUUUGUACGAGGGUAAACGCAGAUACGUGUAUCUGCCUGAAAGUAUCGUACGAAUAAGGAUCGGCUAACUCCGUGCCAGCAGCCGCGGUAAUACGGAGGAUCCAAGCGUUAUCCGGAUUUAUUGGGUUUAAAGGGUGCGUAGGCGGUUUAGUAAGUCAGCGGUGAAAUUUUGGUGCUUAACACCAAACGUGCCGUUGAUACUGCUGGGCUAGAGAGUAGUUGCGGUAGGCGGAAUGUAUGGUGUAGCGGUGAAAUGCUUAGAGAUCAUACAGAACACCGAUUGCGAAGGCAGCUUACCAAACUAUAUCUGACGUUGAGGCACGAAAGCGUGGGGAGCAAACAGGAUUA